rnacentral:rRNA from 1 species
AGUGAACGCUGGCGGUAGGCCUAACACAUGCAAGUCAAACGGCAGCACAGGAGAGCUUGCUCUCUGGGUGGCGAGUGGCGGACGGGUGAGGAAUACAUCGGAAUCUACCUUUUCGUGGGGGAUAACGUAGGGAAACUUACGCUAAUACCGCAUACGACCUACGGGUGAAAGUGGGGGACCGCAAGGCCUCACGCGAUUAGAUGAGCCGAUAUCCGAUUAGCUAGUUGGCGGGGUAAUGGCCCACCAAGGCGACGAUCGGUAGCUGGUCUGAGAGGAUGAACAGCCACACUGGAACUGAGACACGGUCCAGACUCCUACGGGAGGCAGCAGUGGGGAAUAUUGGACGAUGGGCGCAAGCCUGAUCCAGCCAUACCGCGUGGGUGAAGAAGGCCUUCGGGUUGUAAAGCCCUUUUGUUGGGAAAGAAAUCCUGUCGAUUAAUACUCGGUGGGGAUGACGGUACCCAAAGAAUAAGCACCGGCUAACUUCGUGCCAGCCGCCGCAGUAAAAC